GAGGAAUAUUGGUCAAUGGACGAGAGUCUGAACCAGCCAAGUAGCGUGAAGGAUGACUGCCCUAUGGGUUGUAAACUUCUUUUAUACGGGAAUAAAGUGAGGCACGUGUGCCUUUUUGUAUGUACCGUAUGAAUAAGGAUCGGCUAACUCCGUGCCAGCAGCCGCGGUAAUACGGAGGAUCCGAGCGUUAUCCGGAUUUAUUGGGUUUAAAGGGAGCGUAGGCGGACGCUUAAGUCAGUUGUGAAAGUUUGCGGCUCAACCGUAAAAUUGCAGUUGAUACUGGGUGUCUUGAGUACAGUAGAGGCAGGCGGAAUUCGUGGUGUAGCGGUGAAAUGCUUAGAUAUCACGAAGAACUCCGAUUGCGAAGGCAGCUUGCUGGACUGUAACUGACGCUGAUGCUCGAAAGUGUGGGUAUCAAACAGGAUUAGAUACCCUGGUAGUCCACACAGUAAACGAUGAAUACUCGCUGUUUGCGAUAUACAGUAAGCGGCCAAGCGAAAGCGUUAAGUAUUCCACCUGGGGAGUACGCCGGCAACGGUGAAACUCAAAGGAAUUGACGGGGGCCCGCACAAGCGGAGGAACAUGUGGUUUAAUUCGAUGAUACGCGAGGAACCUUACCCGGGCUUGAAUUGCAACUGAAUGAUGUGGAGACAUGUCAGCCGCAAGGCAGUUGUGAAGGUGCUGCAUGGUUGUCGUCAGCUCGUGCCGUGAGGUGUCGGCUUAAGUGCCAUAACGAGCGCAACCCUUAUCGAUAGUUACUAUCAGGUUAUGCUGGGGACUCUGUCGAGACUGCCGUCGUAAGAUGUGAGGAAGGUGGGGAUGACGUCAAAUCAGCACGGCCCUUACGUCCGGGGCUACACACGUGUUACAAUGGGGGGUACAGAAGGCAGCUACACGGCGACGUGAUGCUAAUCCCGAAAGCCUCUCUCAGUUCGGAUUGGAGUCUGCAACCCGACUCCAUGAAGCUGGAUUCGCUAGUAAUCGCGCAUCAGCCACGGCGCGGUGAAUACGUUCCCG
rnacentral:rRNA from 1 species